AGAGUUUGAUCCUGGCUCAGAGCGAACGCUGGCGGCAGGCUUAACACAUGCAAGUCGAGCGGGCGUAGCAAUACGUCAGCGGCAGACGGGUGAGUAACGCGUGGGAACGUACCUUUUGGUUCGGAACAACACAGGGAAACUUGUGCUAAUACCGGAUAAGCCCUUACGGGGAAAGAUUUAUCGCCGAAAGAUCGGCCCGCGUCUGAUUAGCUAGUUGGUGAGGUAACGGCUCACCAAGGCGACGAUCAGUAGCUGGUCUGAGAGGAUGAUCAGCCACAUUGGGACUGAGACACGGCCCAAACUCCUACGGGAGGCAGCAGUGGGGAAUAUUGGACAAUGGGGGCAACCCUGAUCCAGCCAUGCCGCGUGAGUGAUGAAGGCCCUAGGGUUGUAAAGCUCUUUUGUGCGGGAAGAUAAUGACGGUACCGCAAGAAUAAGCCCCGGCUAACUUCGUGCCAGCAGCCGCGGUAAUACGAAGGGGGCUAGCGUUGCUCGGAAUCACUGGGCGUAAAGGGUGCGUAGGCGGGUUUUUAAGUCAGGGGUGAAAUCCUGGAGCUCAACUCCAGAACUGCCUUUGAUACUGAAGAUCUCGAGUCCGGGAGAGGUGAGUGGAACUGCGAGUGUAGAGGUGAAAUUCGUAGAUAUUCGCAAGAACACCAGUGGCGAAGGCGGCUCACUGGCCCGGUACUGACGCUGAGGCACGAAAGCGUGGGGAGCAAACAGGAUUAGAUACCCUAGUAGUCC
rnacentral:rRNA from 1 species